ensembl:snoRNA
GAAUGAGAGAAAUUAUGGCGAAGAAGUUUUUAUUCUCCCUGUCCCCCUGGGCCUGUCAUAGUAACCCAUGCCAGAGCAAACUGUGUCCCCAAAUAAUUGCCUGGCCUCUGUGCCCAUAGCCUGCUGGCACUGAAGUGGGUUUCACAGUG